rnacentral:rRNA from 1 species
CUAGUAAUGGCAGGUCAGCAUACUGCCGUGAAUACGUUCCCGGGCCUUGUACACACCGCCCGUCACACCAUGAGAGUUGGGGAUACCCAAAGCCCGUGAGCCAACUUUUAGAGGCAGCGGUCUAAGGUAGAAUCAAUGAUUGGGGUGAAGUCGUAACAAGGUACC